GAUGAACGCUGGCGGCGUGCCUAAUACAUGCAAGUCGAGCGAACAGACGAGGAGCUUGCUCCUUCGACGUUAGCGGCGGACGGGUGAGUAACACGUAGGUAACCUACCUAUAAGACUGGGAUAACUUCGGGAAACCGGAGCUAAUACCGGAUAAUAUUUCGAACCGCAUGGUUCGAUAGUGAAAGAUGGCUUUGCUAUCACUUAUAGAUGGACCUGCGCCGUAUUAGCUAGUUGGUAAGGUAACGGCUUACCAAGGCAACGAUACGUAGCCGACCUGAGAGGGGGAUCGGCCACAAGGGAACUGAGAAACGGGCCAGAAUCCUAAGGGAGGCAGCAGUAGGGAAACUUCCCCAAAGGGCGAAAGCCUGACGGAGCAAAGCCGCGUGAGUGAUGAAGGUCUUCGGAACGUAAAACUCUGUUAUUAGGGAAAAACAAAAGGGUAAGGAACCAUGCACGGCUUGAAGGUAACCAAUCAAAAAGCCAAGGCUAACUACGUG
rnacentral:rRNA from 1 species